GAGCUGUGAAGAAAUUGGCAAUAGCGUUGGUUGGGUCCUUCGCAUUCUUCUGCUUCACGUGAUGAGAUUUGCCGCACCUGAGCUC
rfam:Brassica oleracea var. oleracea cultivar TO1000 chromosome C3, whole genome shotgun sequence